CUCAAAGGAGACUGCCGUUGAUAAACCGGAGGAAGGUGGGGAUGACGUCAAGUCAUCAUGGCCCUUACGACCAGGGCUACACACGUGCUACAAUGGCGUAUACAAAGGGAAGCGAAGUUGCGAGAGCGAGCGGAUCUCAUAAAGUACGUCUAAGUUCGGAUUGGAGUCUGCAACUCGACUCCAUGAAGUCGGAAUCGCUAGUAAUCGUAGAUCAGAAUGCUACGGUGAAUACGUUCCCGGGCCUUGUACACACCGCCCGUCACACCAUGGGAGUGGGUUGCAACAGAAGUAGAUAGCUUAACCUUGGGGGGGGCGUUUACCACGGUGUGAUUCAUGACUGGGGUGAAGUCGUAACAAGGUAACCA
rnacentral:rRNA from 1 species